rnacentral:tRNA from 2 species
GCGCCCGUAGCUCAGUGGAUAGAGCGCCCGCCUCCGGAGCGGGAGGCCGCAGGUUCGAAUCCUGCCGGGCGCG